rnacentral:rRNA from 1 species
UACGAAGGGGGCUAGCGUUGCUCGGAAUCACUGGGCGUAAAGGGUGCGUAGGCGGGUCUUUAAGUCAGGGGUGAAAUCCUGGAGCUCAACUCCAGAACUGCCUUUGAUACUGAAGAUCUUGAGUUCGGGAGAGGUGAGUGGAACUGCGAGUGUAGAGGUGAAAUUCGUAGAUAUUCGCAAGAACACCAGUGGCGAAGGCGGCUCACUGGCCCGAUACUGACGCUGAGGCACGAAAGCGUGGGAGCAA